GACGAACGCUGGCGGCGUGCUUAACACAUGCAAGUCGAACGGAAAGGCCCUGCUUUUGUGGGGUGCUCGAUUGGCGAACGGGUGAGUAACACGUGAGUAACCUGCCCUUGACUUUGUGAUAACUUCAGGAAACUGGGGCUAAUACCGGAUAGGAGCUCCUGCUGCAUGGUGGGGGGUGGAAAGUUUCGGCGGUUGGGGAUGGACUCGCGGCUUAUCGGCUUGUUUGUGGGGUAGUGGCUUACCAAGGCUUUGACGGGUAGCCGGCCUGGGAGGGUGACCGGCCACAUUGGGACUGAGAUACGGCCCAGACUACUACGGGACGCAGCGGUGGGGAAUAUUGCACAAUGGGCGGAAGCCUGAUGCAGCGACGCCGCGUGCGGGAUGACGGGCUUCGGGUUGUAAACCGCUUUCGCAUGUGACGAAGCGUGAGUGACGGUAAUGGGUAAAGAAGCACCGGCUAACUACGUG
rnacentral:rRNA from 1 species